GACGAACGCUGGCGGCGUGCCUAAUACAUGCAAGUCGAACGCAGUGGGGACGGGUGAGUAACACGUGGGUAACCUCCCAUCAGAGGGGAUAACACUUGGAAACAGGUGCUAAAACGAUAUUGAUGGAUGGACCCGCGGUGCAUUUGCUAGUUGGUGAGGUAACGGCUCACCAAGGCCACGAUGCAUGGACAGCCUGACGUGUUGAUCAUGCACGCGGGGACUAAGACACGGCCCAGACUCCUACGGGAGUCAGCGGUAGGGAAUCUUCGGCUAUUGACGAAAGUCUGACCGAGCAACUCCGCGUGGAUGAAGAAGGUUUUCGGUUCGUAAAUCUCUGUUGUGAGAGAAGGGGUAUCUAACCAGAAAGCCACGGCUAAUGACGUGCCAGCAGCCGCGGUAAUAC
rnacentral:rRNA from 1 species